UGGCCUCGCCAUGCCGGUGGACCUCAGCAAGUGGUCCGGGCCCUAGAGCCUGCAAGAAGUGGACGAGCAGACGCAGCACCCGCUGCAUGUCACCUACGCCGGGGCGGCGGUGGACGAGCUGGGCAAAGUGCUGACGCCCACCCAGGUUAAGAAUAGACCCACCAGCAUUUGGUGGGACGGUAUUGAUUCAGGGAAGCGCUACGCCUUGGUCCUGACAGACCCGGAUGCUCCCAGCAGAAAGGAUCCCAAAUACAGGGAAUGGCAUCAUUUCCUGGUGGUCAACAUUAAGGGCAGUGACAUCAGCAGUGGCGCAGUCCUCUCCGAUUAUGUGGGCUCAGGGCCUCCCAAGGGCACAGGCCUCCACUACUAUGUCUGGCUGGUUUACGAGCAGGCCAGGCAGCUAAAGUGUGACGAGCCCCCUCAGCAACCGAUCUGGAAACCAACGUGACAAAUUCAAGGUGGCGUCCUUCCAUAAAAAGUACCAGCUCGGGACCCCGGUGGCCGGCACAUGUUACCAGGCCGAGUGAGACGACUAUGUGCCCAAACUGUACGAGCAGCUGUCUGGGAAGUAGGGGGUUAGCUUGGGG